rnacentral:misc_RNA from 1 species
CAGAGUUCAUGCCCUAACGGGUAGACCUCCCACCCUUGUGUAUUUAUACUAUGUUGCUUUGGCGGGUUGUACCUCCGGGUGCUUCAGGGCUUGCUCGCCCGCCGAAGGAUACCUAAACUCUGUUUAUUAGUGUCGUCUGAGUACUAUAUAAUAGUUA